UAGAACUAAAUUUCUCUCUUCAAAAAAUGGCUACUUUGUGUUCAACAUUCAAGUUGGCUUUUGUCUUCAUUGCUCUUAUUUUCACUGCUCAUUUGUCUCCAAAAGCUCAAGUAAUGGGCAUUCGAAACAUUUCUCCAGAGUUACAAGCUAUGGAAACGAACCUGAUCACUUUUCCUACGAACCGCCUUACAUUUUGCCUUCAAGUGUGUACCUAUGAUUCAGAUUGUAGUACCAGCAGUACUUGCAAUCACUGCAGUAUGAAUCCUAUUCUAGGAGUGGGAAUUUGUCGUAUCUGAAAUAAGCAAUAAGUUUUUGGAAUGCGAUCGUUAUGCUUGAAAACUCUAAUAAAGUUUUAAAAUUCAGCUCUCGCUAUUGAAGCCACCUGAUGUUCCAUUUUUUUUUGUGGUUGGUUUUGGAAUAAAUUCUAGCUCUAAAAGCUUGAAUAUUGUACAAUUGUAACAUACUUUUUCUCAAAAAAAGGAGUUUGUUCUAAGAAAAUGUUGUGUGUAUGAAUUGAAUUUCUUUUA